rnacentral:rRNA from 1 species
UACGAAGGGGGGCUAGCGUUGCUCGGAAUCACUGGGCGUAAAGGGUGCGUAGGCGGGUCUUUAAGUCAGGGGUGAAAUCCUGGAGCUCAACUCCAGAACUGCCUUUGAUACUGAGGAUCUUGAGUUCGGGAGAGGUGAGUGGAACUGCGAGUGUAGAGGUGAAAUUCGUAGAUAUUCGCAAGAGCACCAGUGGCGAAGGCGGCUCACUGGCCCGAUACUGACGCUGAGGCACGAAAGCGUGGGGAGCAAACAGG